rnacentral:rRNA from 1 species
UACGGAAGGUCCGGGCGUUAUCCGGAUUAUUGGGUUUAAAGGGAGCGCAGGCGGAAGAUUAAGCGUGACGUGAAGUGUAGCCGCUCAACGGCUGAACUGCGUCGCGAACUGGUUUUCUUGAGUGGGUACGAGGUAUGCGGAAUUCGUGGUGUAGCGGUGAAAUGCUUAGAUAUCACGAAGAACCCCGAUUGCGAAGGCAGCGUACCAGUCCCCAACUGACGCUAAUGCUCGAAAGUGCGGGUAUCGAACA